rnacentral:misc_RNA from 1 species
CCGAGUUUACAACUCCCAAACCCCUGUGAACAUACCUAUAUGUUGCCUCGGCGGAUCAGCCCGCGCCCCGUAAAACGGGACGGUCCGCCGCAGGAUCCACAAACUCUGUUUUUAUUGUAACUUCUGAGUAACAAAACAAAUAAAUCA